GAACAUCGACAUUUUGAACGCAUAUUGCGGUCCAUACUGACUAGUUUCUUAAUCGAAGCUGUAUGGACCACACAUGGUUGAGGGUCGUUAGUUUAUGCUAACUGAAUUGCUUUUGUUUUUGCUUCGGCACAAACAUAUAGCUCAUAUGGAGGUGUUGUCAAUCUUAAGUGUAUUGCCAUCCCUUGAAAACUACCAUAAUGUGUAUAUAUUAUUGGUACACAAUUUCAAUUUAUUUGUGAAACGUUUGUUUAUAUGCCAUACUACGUAUACUCGUAUAUGCAAAGAGAACAAAUGUCCACCAAAUAUUUUGUAUGCGUGUGCCCACAUAUACCGGAGGCUUGAAGUUAGUAAACUUUAAUUAAGCACUUAAACUUAAUUGUUUUUUUGCGAUUUGAAUGCUAUUUGAAAACUUCUCCUAGUCUCGUCGUGAGUGUAUGCGGGCACAAUAUACGUGUAUAUAAAUAUGGACAGUUAUUCGUUAAUUCUCUUUUGCGUGUGCUUGUUGGUAUUGUGGUGUAAAACGAUCCGGAAAAUGUUGAAUGCUGGUGGCGUUUCACGUUAACAAAAGUAAAUUGCAAAUUGAUAAACAAAUAAAAGCGACCUCAGCUCAUGUGAGACU
rnacentral:rRNA from 1 species